rnacentral:rRNA from 1 species
CAGCAGCCGCGGUAAUACGUAGGUCCCGAGCGUUGUCCGGAUUUAUUGGGCGUAAAGCGAGCGCAGGCGGUUAGAUAAGUCUGAAGUUAAAGGCUGUGGCUUAACCAUAGUAUGCUUUGGAAACUGUUUAACUUGAGUGCAGAAGGGGAGAGUGGAAUUCCAUGUGUAGCGGUGAAAUGCGUAGAUAUAUGGAGGAACACCGGUGGCGAAAGCGGCUCUCUGGUCUGUAACUGACGCUGAGGCUCGAAAGCGUGGGGAGCAAACAGGAUUAGAUACCCGCGUAGUCCCUGUCUCUUAUACA